rnacentral:rRNA from 1 species
UAGAGUUUGAUCAUGGCUCAGAUUGAACGCUGGCGGCAGGCCUAACACAUGCAAGUCGAGCGGUAGAGAGAAGCUUGCUUCUCUUGAGAGCGGCGGACGGGUGAGUAAUGCCUAGGAAUCUGCCUGGUAGUGGGGGAUAACGUUCGGAAACGGACGCUAAUACCGCAUACGUCCUACGGGAGAAAGCAGGGGACCUUCGGGCCUUGCGCUAUCAGAUGAGCCUAGGUCGGAUUAGCUAGUUGGUGGGGUAAUGGCUCACCAAGGCGACGAUCCGUAACUGGUCUGAGAGGAUGAUCAGUCACACUGGAACUGAGACACGGUCCAGACUCCUACGGGAGGCAGCAGUGGGGAAUAUUGGACAAUGGGCGAAAGCCUGAUCCAGCCAUGCCGCGUGUGUGAAGAAGGUCUUCGGAUUGUAAAGCACUUUAAGUUGGGAGGAAGGAUUGUAGAUUAAUACUCUGCAAUUUUGACGUUACCGACAGAAUAAGCACCGGCUAACUCUGUGCCAGCAGCCGCGGUAAUACAGAGGGUGCAAGCGUUAAUCGGAAUUACUGGGCGUAAAGCGCGCGUAGGUGGUUUGUUAAGUUGGAUGUGAAAUCCCCGGGCUCAACCUGGGAACUGCAUUCAAAACUGACUGACUAGAGUAUAGUAGAGGGUGGUGGAAUUUCCUGUGUAGCGGUGAAAUGCGUAGAUAUAGGAAGGAACACCAGUGGCGAAGGCGACCACCUGGACUAA